CAACUUAUCUAUGUUUUCUUUCCUUCAACUUUCAGUACUAGUACUAGGACUAGGAUUUCUGGUCUUCUUUAUUUGAUGUUAGUAUAUUUACAUUCUCUUUGUUGAAGCACUUUAAUGUGUGUUUUGUUCAUGUCUGUCCACUUUAAUCUCUCUCUUUCCUUCCAUUACACUGGAAAGAGGCCCAGGAUUUGUGAAAGCGGUGGGGUAUGAGGAAGCAUUCACUUGAAUAAAUAUUUAAAUGAGGAAGCACCAACCACCCUCUAUAUGAGAUGUUAAUGUGAAAGUAAUACAACUCUUGCUGGCUGCCAGUGGAGAUCCUCAAUGUAGAAGAUGAAGAUUUUGAAGAUUAAAGAACAAGAUCAUGUGAAAGAUAAUGUGGAGCUUGCA